rnacentral:lncRNA from 1 species
CCCCUGCCCUUCCCUUCUGCUGCUUACACUACCCUAUCACCACCCCUCAAUCUCUAUCUUCCUCUGCACGUCCCUUGCCCCUUCUAGUCCGCCACCUCUCUUUAGAUUUCCCGUUUUCAUUUCCACCUCUCCCGCCGAACGCCUCCUCUGCCCACCUUCCAGAGAGGCCUGGGUCUGGUACACGCUUUUCCACUGACCACCUGUGUGAUUCUCAGCAAGGCUCUCGGCCGCCUGCGCCCCACCCUCGUCCCCUUGCAGGGUUGAUCCGGUGAGACAGAAAAGGCUUUGAGAGCUGGUUCUGUGAAGAGUACAUGAAAUUUUGGCUACUUCUUUCAGGACUUAUCAGGUCUUACCAGGUCUGCACAAACCACGACGUCCUGGAAAAACAGCACAUGGUACGCCCUAAAACACAACCCCCAAAAAGUGCUAAUUGGAAAAACAAAACAAAACAAAACAAAAACCCUGCAAAUUUGGAUCUGCAUAUGAAAUCUUUCCGUUUAAAAAUGGUGUCGGCCGGGCUCUGUGGCUCACGCCUGUAAUCCCAGCGCUUUGGGUGGCCGAGGCGGGCGGAUCACUUGAGGUCAGGAGUUCGAAACUGGCCUGGCCAACAUGGCGAAACCCUGUCUCUACUAAAAAUACAAAAAUUAGCCAGGGUUGGUGGCGCACGCCUGUAGUCCUAGCUACUCGGGA